rnacentral:lncRNA from 1 species
AUUCAAGUCUUAUCUCAUCCCAUGACAUAGAUUUUGCCACGGUGGAAUAUGUAAGUGGUACCUAUAAAUAUUUUAAAUAGGAAUGCAUAGCCUAGAGAUAAGUUAUUUGACAUGGGACCAAAUUGAAAAGGAAGUGUAUAUAGCUAAAACCCGCAAAAUUGGUCAGAAAAUAGACAGCUUCAUACAUGCUACCACAUGGGUCUCACAUUAUUGGCUAUUCUACAUCUUCUUGGACACAUAACCAACAAUUCUUUUAUUUCUCUGUUUUAAUUGUUCCUACAGAAAAAAUGUAGGAGUUGAAUUGGCAGAUUCAUGCAACUUGAUUGGUUA